GGAGAGGUGUCAGAGCGGCUUAAUGUGCACGCCUGGAACGCGUGUGUCCCAAUAGGGAUCGGGAGUUCGAAUCUCCCCCUCUCCG
rnacentral:tRNA from 1 species